rnacentral:rRNA from 1 species
GACGAACCGUGCGAACGUUGUUCGGAAUCACUGGGCUUAAAGCGUGUGUAGGCGGACCCGUCAGUGUCUUGUGAAAUCCCCCGGCUCAACCGGGGAACGGCUGGGCAUACUGCGGGUCUUGAGACACCUAGGGGCGAGCGGAACAGGCGGUGGAGCGGUGAAAUGCGUAGAUAUCGCCUGGAACGCCGACGGUGAAAACAGCUCGCUGGGGGUGUUCUGACGCCGAGACACGAAAGCCAGGGGAGCGAACGGG